GAGUGUAUAGAUGAAUGGGCCACUCCUACUGGGGGUGGAGAAUGAAAGUUUAGUUGUUCUCACUAACUGUCUAGUAAUUCUUUGCCAGUUUACGGUGGAUGGGAUGAUGACGUGGUCGCGCCCCCUCACCCAUUAUCAUGCAGAUAGGUCGGUUGCCUUACGGACCCUGGCUGGCUGCAUGCGUGGAUGGGGUGGCGAGACCGGGUUGCCAUGACAGUCACAGAGCGCACGCAGAGAGUGCUAGAUGGGGGUGACGAGCAAAGCUGGUGGGUCAGAGCUAUGCCCGCUAAGGUCGGUUCCUGGCCCGCCGGUUGGAGAAAGAGGUGAGUUUAGUUGGUAGGCGGCUCGCUACGAGAGUUUAAUCCAACACACCUGGGACACCAUCCCAGAAGUCUUUAGAAUAUUCUCACCUCCCAAAAAAAGGGUACUGAAAGAGGAAGAAGAUACAAAUGCAUCCACAAUUUUUGUUUUAACUUCUUCCAAUGGAGGUCUACAUUAUAACAGUAUGUACAAUCAGUGUUGUACGCAAUAUUGUUAGUUAAUCGGUCUUAAUGGAUACAUAUGUCAUUGAGAAAAAUGUCAAAUAUAAAACUUUUAACACAAUAUAAAAUACGCACCACAAGCAACAGGAUGCUUUCCUUGGGGCAUUGAAUAUUCAUAGUUUGAAGACUAAAGUAAUGUUUUUACAAUAAAAGACAAUAACGUAUCCUUUACCUAGUAUUAGAAUAUUGUUAAAUCGUUUAUUAAUAGGUUUGCUCCAACACAAUAUUUGUACGGUCCCGAAAUCGUCACGAAACUAUUUGUACUGUUUUUAGGCGCAUGUUCAUCAUUCGUAUCAUCCGUUGACGCUAAUUCGAAAAUCAACCCUAGUGCGCAGGUCAGCGCAACAAGUACUGCCAUUUAUCCGAGUACUGAAAUGAUCGUCUCGAAACUGUCAUUGGACGAUCACAAUUUUUGUUGGAACAAUCAUCGGAAGGAUGAAACGAUGAACGGUCAUUGUUGUUAGAACGUAUUUCGUUUACUGCGCAACAUGACGGUUCUUCGUUGUGUUGGAACAAACUUAAAGGCACGUAUCCACUAUGUUGCGCUCCGCUCUCCCUGCAACUGCUCCAAUUGAUAUGGCAUGCGCUCCUCUACAUACAAAUUGCCACCGAUUAGAGCUGAGGCGGAGCGCGCACCAUUACACGGUCCGGGAGCGCGAACGUAUUCACUAUGUAGAUCAGUUGCAGGAGCGCGUAACGCAAGAGGAACGCGAACAUAGUGGAUACAUGCCGUAAUACCUACCACUUCCAUAACCCUUACGAUUUAUGCAUCGUUACUAAGAUGUUUAAUUUGUCAAAUACCAAAAAGUUACAAAUAAUUUUAGAAAACGCUCUUGUGCGGUCCAAAUACUAUUUUAAAAUCUACUAACAAAAUCAUUUAACCCUUUCGCGGGCACACUGCAUAUGCAGACACUUACCAAGGGAAAUUACUGUCUGCAUAUGCAGUCGUGUCCGUGAAUGGGUUCACUAGUUUAAAAGUAAUGUUUUGAUAGUGGAGUGUGCAACUGGAAAAAAAAUCAAAAGGAUCAAUCAAAAUAACAAUUCUACAAAAUAAUCAGCUAACAGUCUUAAAGUAAAUUAUAUACUGAUAACUGAAAAAGGUGCCGUAGACCCAACCCUUGCUCCGCCACUGUAAAUUCGUUAUGUACAUACACAGCCUAUAAGUAACAUGUAACUUAAAAAAACAUAUUAGAAAAUAAUGUGUUCUAUGUGUUUAUAUGUUUUUUGAGUUUUGCGAUCUCUAAUCCGUGUGACAACCGUCUUGCUCAAUUCAUCCUAUAAUACAAUAUACUAUAUUUAUUAUAUAUAGAUAUAGCUAGCUAAUCACUGAUCGGUUUUGUUUUAGAGUCAAACGCCGAUUUUAAUUACUUGGAUUAUAAAAUUAGCAUUGUGUCUCAUAUAUCGAGAAUUCGCUAUAUAAAUCUAGCAAUAACAACGAGAUUUAAAAUAAUACAAAAGAUACACUAAUCUUAAAGUUACAAAUAAUAAAAUAAUGGGAUAUGAAAUAAAUUAUAUAUAAAAAAGUCAUAGUUUAGCGAAUGUGUUACUAGUAUGUGGAGAAAAAACACCGAAAUAUAAUUAAGCAUCAUUUGAAUUUAAAUUGCCUUUCUUAAGUUUAAGUUCUUCCUUAUUUUAUAAAGCAAAAUACCAAAAUUAAUUUUGUUUUAAUUUUGAAAUAUGUGAUAUUCGUGAUACUAAUUUCCAUUGAAAGUCAUGAAUUAAACUCUAUUCUAAAGGUUGUAGUACCUCUGGAAAGUUUAAACUACGACAGUCUGAUUUUGUCUUGGAACAUCAUGGAGUGAAUGCCCAUUACACUUAACAGCUCACUGCAGCAUUUGUCACCUAAAUUAUUAUUGUUUUUGUUAAAUUAUAUGUUGAAGUCUUUCUUAUAAGCAGAUAAUUGAUAUCUAAUUGCUUGCUAUAUAUGUGCAUUCUUUUUUUGAUGCAGGUAAUAAAAUUGUUUUAAAUAAACCUGCACAAAAUUAAACAUGAACCAACUUGUUUUAACCUGCAGAAUACUAACAGUUUUAAUAUUCAUGGAUUCAACGAUAUCGGAUGUUUAUUUUUGCAAAUUGUGACACUCAGGAUUCCUUAGCCUUCUACCACCAUCUAGGACUGUGUCCUGAGUGCCAUUCUAUUCCCUAGUUUCUUGUAGAGAAUGUAGUAAGAAACAAACUAGCUUCAGUAAUCCAUAAAGUAUGGAACCAGAUCUCGCGUCUGGUCAUAUUUAGGAAGAUGAAGACGUUGAAGUAAUGCAGACACCCAAAAUAGGCCCUAAAGCCUAUUUGACAGCCACAAAUAAGAUCUAUGGCAUACAGAAAAGAUCCUUCAGGUCAGAUAACAUAUAGAAUUGAGGCAACUAUGCAAUCGCAUGAAUAAUAGAAAUAUAACUUCUCCAACUCAUAACAAGAGAAAAUAUAUGUAGGUUAAACAAAACCUGGAAGAAGAAUCUCAUGGCUCAAAACACUUGAGGCAGUGCAAUGACAUCUAGCACACUGUUCAGCAGUAAAUAGGGUUAUUUGGACCAAUAUGAUAGCCAAUGCCCUAGAGUCUAGAGGAUAGGCACUUACAGCUCUCUACAAAAAACUGUUGUAGACUUAAAGUGGAGCAGACACUUUUAACAUGUUGAUUUGCCACAUGAUGAUAAAAAUCUCAGGCAAAUAAUUGAAUUUUCUUGGUUUCGUUCUGAUCAUGCGCAGUAAAGAAAUGUGAGCACAUGCACAUGAUCAGGACGGACGAUCCUAAGAACACUCGACGAAGAUAAACGAAUAGAAUGUAACUGUAAAAUGCAUCAGCCAAAUCAACUACCUAGGAUAAUACUAAAAAAAAUUGAACUAGUAAUAUUUAUCAUUCUAGCCAAAAUCAUUUCGCAUAGAUAGUCCCAGUUACUGUUCAAAACUUAUAAAUAUUAUAUACAGGUCUAAAAGAAUUGGUCUGCAUAAAUUGAGGUACAGUAUGCAACAGUUAGGAAGCAUCAACUUCUCACUCUCGUAUUGCUCUAACAUAAAGGUGUUGACACCAAUCACAACACAGCAUUGUGUUAAGAAUAUCACAAUAUCAACCAUUAACCACUGUUUGGCAAUAGUCCUCAGCAACCAAAUUAGCACUGACCAGUAUGAGUUGAGUUUGUCUGUAUGAAAGCCAGGGUGUAAUUGAACAUGGUUGUUUACAUGAAAACCAUACUGAUUAUUUUUUAAUACUAAAUUUCUGAUAUGUGCAAAUUACGUACCGCCUUAUUUGUUAUAAGAAUUAUGUUUCUUCUACCGUUGAAAACGUAAUGUAAGAUCUAAUGUUCGAUAAAUUCACUUACUUUUACAAUUUGCUAAAAUUUAGCAAACUGGUCUAUCUACUAGAUGAAAUUAUAGAUUUAACAAUAAAGGCAACAUACACACCUAUUACCAAUGAAUGUUCCCAUGUUUGAAGUGACUGCUUCUUAACGCUCGGUAUGCUUGUAUGUUUUUGCACGGGCUCGAAUCAAUUCACCCGUCACGAGACGCUUGAAGUAUGAUAUACAAACAUAUACAGUGAUGAGCGUGCUAAUAUGGAAAACAUAUUAAAUUGUGAGAUAAAAAGAAAUAAAA
rnacentral:lncRNA from 1 species